rnacentral:rRNA from 1 species
AACGUAGGACACAAGCGUUAUCCGGAGUUACUGGGCGUAAAGGGCGUGUAGGCGGACCUAUAAGUCUAUUCUGAAAGCUCCUGGCUAAACUGGGAGAGGCGAAUGGAGACUGUAGAUCUAGAGUGAGGAAGAGGAAAGUGGAAUUCCGCGUGUAGUGGUGAAAAUGCGUAGAGAUGCGGAGGAACACCAGUGGCGAAAGCGACUUUCUGGUCCUUAACUGACGCUGAGGCGCGAAAGCAUGGGGGAGCGAACGGGG